rnacentral:rRNA from 1 species
AACGAACGCUGGCGGCAUGCCUAACACAUGCAAGUCGAACGAGACCUUCGGGUCUAGUGGCGCACGGGUGCGUAACGCGUGGGAACCUGCCCUUAGGUUCGGAAUAACUCCCCGAAAGGGGUGCUAAUACCGGAUAAUGUCUUCGGACCAAAGAUUUAUCGCCUUUGGAUGGGCCCGCGUUGGAUUAGCUAGUUGGUAGGGUAAAAGCCUACCAAGGCGACGAUCCAUAGCUGGUCUGAGAGGAUGAUCAGCCACACUGGGACUGAGACACGGCCCAGACUCCUACGGGAGGCAGCAGUGGGGAAUAUUGGACAAUGGGCGAAAGCCUGAUCCAGCAAUGCCGCGUGAGUGAUGAAGGCCUUAGGGUUGUAAAGCUCUUUUACCCGGGAUUAUAAUGACAGUACCGGGAGAAUAAGCUCCGGCUAACUCCGUG